rnacentral:lncRNA from 1 species
AUGUAUAUGUCUGUGUUUUUUGUAUGUUCACGUGUCUACCAAUUUUACAUUUUUUUUUACAUUUUUUUUUACAUUUUUUUUUUACAUUUUUUUUUUACAUUUUUUUUUACAUUUUUUUUUUACAUUUUUUUUUUUUUUUUUUUUUUUUUUCAGAACUAUAUUUAUAUGAGCAAUAGACCUAUACAUUAUAGCUACGCCACUAAAACGGUUUUGUCAGAUAGUGAGCUGAUUUACAAAAAUGUUACAUGUAACUCGUUUUACUUCUUUUAUAGCUUUAACAAAAUAAGUAUUGAUUUUUUAUUACAUUUUUUGAAAAGUUAUGAAGAUAAUAAUACCUUGAUAAAUGACUUACUUGGAUUAAAUAAAGAAGAAGAAUAUUUUGUUAUUAAUAAUCUGAGCGGUAUUAUAAAAUAUGUACAUUCGAACUAUGGAGCAAUACUUAAUGAAAAUUGUAGUGAUAAUAAUAUUAGAGACAGUGAAAGUGGUAAAAACUUACCCAGCUUAAUCAUAAAAAAAAUAAUAAAAAAAAUAAUAAAAAAAAUAAAAAAUAACAUAAAAAUAUUAGUUUUUACUACAAAAAUAUAUACUAUAUUUAAUAAUAAAAGCUUAUUAGUAGACAGAAAUAUUUUAUAUAGAAUUGUAAAAAUAACGUAUGAAAAUUUAGAAUCUUUUUUUUUUAUUAUAAGUGAUAAAUCAUUUAAUCAAUUUUAUGACUAUUUAUAUAAAUAUUAUAAAAAAAAUAAUAAAAUAAAAGAUUUAAAAACUAUUAUUAAAAUAAAAGGUGAAGUUUUUAAAACUUGUACUUAUAAUAAUUUUACAAAUAAAGAAGAAAAUAAUUUUAUUUUUGUUGAAAAAAAUAAAAUUAAUGAAUCUUUUGGAACAGGUAUUGUUCAUUUAGCUCCAUCUCAUGGUUUUACUGAUUUUAAUACAUAUUACAAAAAUAAUAAAUUAAAAAAAAAAAUUUACUUAAACGAGUUAAAUUUUCAAAAGAUAGAAAAAAAAAAAAAAACUGCAUUGAGUAGUAGUAGUAGUAGUACUCUCGACUGUUCUAGUAAAAGCGGGUUAAAUAAUAUUUUGAAAUUCAGUAAGGGGGGACAUAAUAUAGAUACAGGUUAUUAUUAUACAAAUAACACUAAAAAGGAUAAUAAGGACAAAAAUAAUAAAGACAAAAAUAAUAAAGACAAAAAUAAUGACAAAAAUAAUGACAAAAAUAAUGACAAAAAUAAUNNNNNNNNNNACAAAAAUAAUGACAAAAAUAAUGACAAAAAUAAUGACAAAAAUAAUAAAGACAAAAAUUAUCAGGACAAAAAUAACUGUUGUUACAACAUUCAUACAAAAAAACAAUCAGAAAUAAACGAAAAAAAAAAUGAAAGUUCUUUUUAUUUCGAUACAAUUAAUGAAAAUGUGAUUGAUGAAUAUGCAAAUUUAAAAAAAACAAUAUAA